CCUACGGGAGGCAGCAGUGAGGAAUAUUGGUCAAUGGACGAGAGUCUGAACCAGCCAAGUAGCGUGAAGGAUGACUGCCCUAUGGGUUGUAAACUUCUUUUAUAUGGGAAUAAAAUGUUCCUCGUGUGGGAUUGUGUAUGUACCAUAUGAAUAAGGAUCGGCUAACUCCGUGCCAUCAGACGCGGUACUACGGAGGAUCCGAGCGUUAUCUGGACUUAUUGGGUUUAAAGGGAGCGUAGGUGGAUUGUUAAGUCAGUUGUGAAAGUUUGCGGCUCAACCGUAAAAUUGCAGUUGAAACUGGCAGUCUUGAGUACAGUAGAGGUGGGCGGAAUUCGUGGUGUAGCGGUGAAAUGCUUAGAUAUCACGAAGAACUCCGAUGGCGAAGGCAGCUCACUGGACUGCAACUGACACUGAGGCUCGAAAGUGUGGGUAUCAAACAGGAUUAGAUACCCGUGUAGUC
rnacentral:rRNA from 1 species